CCUACGGGAGGCAGCAGUGGGGAAUAUUGGACAAUGGGGGGAACCCUGAUCCAGCCAUGCCGCGUGUGUGAAGAAGGCCCUCGGGUUGUAAAGCACUUUCAGUGAGGAAGAACGCCUGGUGGUUAAUACCCAUCAGGAAAGACAUCACUCACAGAAGAAGCACCGGCUAACUCCGUGCCAGCAGCCGCGGUAAUACGGAGGGUGCGAGCGUUAAUCGGAAUUACUGGGCGUAAAGCGCGCGUAGGUGGCUUGAUAAGCCGGUUGUGAAAGCCCCGGGCUCAACCUGGGAACGGCAUCCGGAACUGUCAAGCUAGAGUGCAGGAGAGGAAGGUAGAAUUCCCGGUGUAGCGGUGAAAUGCGUAGAGAUCGGGAGGGAUACCAGUGGCGAAGGCGGCCUUCUGGACUGACACUGCCACUGAGGUGCGAAAGCGUGGGUAGCAAACAGGAUUAGAUACCCUUGUAGUC
rnacentral:rRNA from 1 species